GUUCUGCUGUUUCCUAACAAACAGAUCAUUCUACAUCUUUAGAGUGAGAAGGAGUCUCAGAAAUUGAAGACAAGAGAUGAAGGAAGAAUAAAAAGGAGAAGGAGAAAAAAAUCUUUCUCCAAGGGCGUAUUUUACAAGGAAAAAAGGAUAACAUCCCAGAGUACAGCAACUAUGUGUUGGGAGACACUGGGAAUUGGAAGAUGAGCACAGACAUGGAUGAGAACAGAGAAAGGCAACAGAGGCCUCUCGGUAUUGCCAAAGCCAACCUCUGCCACUUCUACUACAUCUGCUCCAUUCUCCAGUUGCUGGCUGCUCGGAUAAAGGAAAGAAUUCGAUCUGAGGGUUGAGGAAGAUCAAUUAUAAGUUUUGUCUGAAGUCUGAAUUUGUUUGAAGAAAAGUCCAGGGCUGUUGUCAAAGAAAUAGGCUUCUCUCAGGACCAGGAUGACACUGACUAGUGAGAAGGAGCUCUACACUGCUGUUUGUGUUACAAGUGAAAGUCGACAGGAUAAGAAUUGGAAGUACAUAAUUUGGCAGAAAGCAAAGUGAUUAUCCUGUUGCUUAAGAGGCAAAUGUUUUAGUGAUGUGCAAAAUAAAAAAUCAUUACAAAUUCCAAGCGAUAUGUGAUGCUGCUCUAAGUGUGGGAGGAUUGUACUUGAAGUUAGAACUAAAUCACAACAAGAAGUUUGGAAGGACCUCAAACACGUGGAGGUUAAGGACCAUCCUGCUAAAAGAUAAAAGGGUCAACCAGGAAAUUAAGGAAGAAUUAAAAAGAUUCAUGGAAACUAAUGUACCAAGUUCUUUUAAACAGAGUCAACACUAUACUGUGACUCUUCUUACUAAAACUAACUCUUGUAUCUCUCCUACUCUAUAUCUAAUAUUAUCCUAUAUUUUCAUGGGUUUUAUCUUUUUAAAAAGUGUAUUAAUGUUUUAAUGUUUCAUGACAUCUUAGGAUUCAGUUCCUUCAAUAAAUGUCAAUAUGGGGGAUCCCUGGGUGGCGCAGUGGUUUAGCGCCUGCCUUUGGCCCAGGGCGUGAUCCUGGAGACCCGGGAUGGAAUCCCACGUCGGGCUCCCAGUGCAUGGAGCCUGCUUCUCCCUCUGCCUAUGUCUCUGCCUCUCUCUCUCUCUCUCUCUGUGUGUGACUAUCAUAAAUUAAAAAAAAAAAUUAAAAAAAUAUGCUGUCUAUGUUUUAAAG